rnacentral:rRNA from 1 species
UUUGAUCAUGGCUCAGGACGAACGCUGGCGGCGUGCCUAAUACAUGCAAGUCGAACGAACUCUGGUAUUGAUUGGUGCUUGCAUCAUGAUUUACAUUUGAGUGAGUGGCGAACUGGUGAGUAACACGUGGGAAACCUGCCCAGAAGCGGGGGAUAACACCUGGAAACAGAUGCUAAUACCGCAUAACAACUUGGACCGCAUGGUCCGAGUUUGAAAGAUGGCUUCGGCUAUCACUUUUGGAUGGUCCCGCGGCGUAUUAGCUAGAUGGUGGGGUAACGGCUCACCAUGGCAAUGAUACGUAGCCGACCUGAGAGGGUAAUCGGCCACAUUGGGACUGAGACACGGCCCAAACUCCUACGGGAGGCAGCAGUAGGGAAUCUUCCACAAUGGACGAAAGUCUGAUGGAGCAACGCCGCGUGAGUGAAGAAGGGUUUCGGCUCGUAAAACUCUGUUGUUAAAGAAGAACAUAUCUGAGAGUAACUGUUCAGGUAUUGACGGUAUUUAACCAGAAAGCCACGGCUAACUACGUGCCAGCAGCCGCGGUAAUACGUAGGUGGCAAGCGUUGUCCGGAUUUAUUGGGCGUAAAGCGAGCGCAGGCGGUUUUUUAAGUCUGAUGUGAAAGCCUUCGGCUCAACCGAAGAAGUGCAUCGGAAACUGGGAAACUUGAGUGCAGAAGAGGACAGUGGAACUCCAUGUGUAGCGGUGAAAUGCGUAGAUAUAUGGAAGAACACCAGUGGCGAAGGCGGCUGUCUGGUCUGUAACUGACGCUGAGGCUCGAAAGUAUGGGUAGCAAACAGGAUUAGAUACCCUGGUAGUCCAUACCGUAAACGAUGAAUGCUAAGUGUUGGAGGGUUUCCGCCCUUCAGUGCUGCAGCUAACGCAUUAAGCAUUCCGCCUGGGGAGUACGGCCGCAAGGCUGAAACUCAAAGGAAUUGACGGGGGCCCGCACAAGCGGUGGAGCAUGUGGUUUAAUUCGAAGCUACGCGAAGAACCUUACCAGGUCUUGACAUACUAUGCAAAUCUAAGAGAUUAGACGUUCCCUUCGGGGACAUGGAUACAGGUGGUGCAUGGUUGUCGUCAGCUCGUGUCGUGAGAUGUUGGGUUAAGUCCCGCAACGAGCGCAACCCUUAUUAUCAGUUGCCAGCAUUAAGUUGGGCACUCUGGUGAGACUGCCGGUGACAAACCGGAGGAAGGUGGGGAUGACGUCAAAUCAUCAUGCCCCUUAUGACCUGGGCUACACACGUGCUACAAUGGAUGGUACAACGAGUUGCGAACUCGCGAGAGUAAGCUAAUCUCUUAAAGCCAUUCUCAGUUCGGAUUGUAGGCUGCAACUCGCCUACAUGAAGUCGGAAUCGCUAGUAAUCGCGGAUCAGCAUGCCGCGGUGAAUACGUUCCCGGGCCUUGUACACACCGCCCGUCACACCAUGAGAGUUUGUAACACCCAAAGUCGGUGGGGUAACCUUUUAGGAACCAGCCGCCUAAGGUGGGACAGAUGAUUAGGGUGAAGUCGUAACAAGGUAGCCGUAGGAGAACCUGCGGUUGGAUCACC